rnacentral:rRNA from 1 species
AGACGACGCUGGCGGCGUGCUAACACAUGCAAGUCGAGCGAUGAAGCUUCUCGGAAGUGGAUUAGCGGCGGACGGGUGGAGUAACACGUGGGUAACCUGCCUCAUAGAGGGGAAUAGCCUUCCGAAAGGAAGAUUAAUACCGCAUAAGAUUGUAAUAUCGCAUGAUAUAGCAAUUAAAGGAGCAAUCCGCUAUGAGAUGGACCCGCGUCGCAUUAGCUAGUUGGUGAGGUAACGGCUCACCAAGGCGACGAUGCGUAGCCGACCUGAGAGGGUGAUCGGCCACAUUGGGACUGAGACACGGCCCAGACUCCUACGGGAGGCAGCAGUGGGGAAUAUUGCACAAUGGGGGAAACCCUGAUGCAAGCAACGCCGCGUGAGUGAUGACGGUCUUCGGAUUGUAAAGCUCUGUCUUCAGGGACGAUAAUGACGGUACCUGAGGAGGAAGCCACGGCUAACUACGUGCCAGCCGCGGC